AUGGGACACAGAGCCACCACCCCACAACGAGAUGCCACCACCCCAUGGGACAGAGCCACCACCCCACAACGAGAUGCCACCACACCAUGGGACAUGAUGCCACCGCCCCAUGGGACACACCACGAUGCCACCACCCCAUGGGACAGGGCCACCGCCCCAUGGGACAUCAAGCCACCAUCCCACAACGUGAUGCCACCACCCCAUGGGACACACCACGAUGCCACCACCCCAUGGGACAUCAAGCCACCAUCCCACAACGCGAUGCCACCACCCCAUGGGACACGAUGCCACCACCCCACAACGAGAUGCCACCGCCCCAUGGGACAGAGCCACCACCCCACAACGAGAUGCCACCGCCCCAUGGGACACACCACAAUGCCACCACCCCAUGGGACAGGGCCACCGCCCCAUGAGACAUCAAGCCACCAUCCCACAACGCAAUGCCACCACCCCAUGGGACAUGAUGCCACCACCCCAUGGGACACACCACGAUGCCACCACCCCAUGGGACACACCACGAUGCCACCACCCCAUGGGACACAGGGCCACCAUCCCACAAUGAGAUGCCACCACCCCACAACGAGAUGCCACCACCCCACAACGAGAUGCCACCACCCCAUGGGACACAGAGCCACCACCCCACAACGCGAUGCCAUUGCCCCACAACGCGAUGCCACCGCCCCAUGGGACAUCAAGCCACCACCCCACAACGAGUUGCUACCACCCCAUGGAACAUGAUGCCACCACCCCACGGGACACAGAGCCACCACCCCAUGGCACACGAUGCCACCACCCCAUGGCACACCCCACGGAGCCACCCCCCCACCCCCCCAAGGGUGAGGGCAGCGCCCGGUUCCCGCGCAGCCGCCGUCCCCGUACCGGUGUAGCCGAUGUUCUCGAAGCUGAGCAGGCUGAAGAUGCUGUUGUAGAGCUGCAUCUCCUUCUUGCGGCUCUGGUCCAUCUCGUCCAGGAUCUCCAUCAGCUCGUUGCCCGUCUUGGUCGGGUGCGUGCACUCGGCCUCGUGCACCGUCAGCUCGUGGAACGGGCCCUGCCACGGGCACCCGAUGCGCUUGUACUUGCACUGCGUCACCCUGAGGGAAGAGGGGGGGACGGCGGGGUCAGCACGGGGCCAAAAGGGUCCCCAAAGUGCCACCAGGUCUUGGUAGGGUGGCUAUGGAGGGAACACGCUGGCCUCCAGGACACCACGUGGCCAUAAAUGUCCCCAGAGUGCCACCAGGUCAUGGUUACAAUGGCUAUGGAGGGAACAGGUUGGCCUCCAGGACACCACGUGGCCAUAAAUGUCCCCA
rnacentral:lncRNA from 1 species